rnacentral:rRNA from 1 species
CGUGUAGGCGGUGCGGUAAGUCGGGCGUGAAAUCCCCGGGCUUAACUCGGGGCGGUCGUUCGAAACUGCCGUGCUGGAGUGCGGGAGAGGGAAGUGGAAUUCCCGGUGUAGCAGUGAAAUGCGUAGAUAUCGGGAGGAACACCGGCGGCGAAGGCGGCUUCCUGGACCGCAACUGACGCUGAGGCGCGAAAGCUAGGGGAGCAAACAGGAUUAGAUACCCUGGUAGUCCUAGCCCUAAACGAUGAGCACUGGGUGUGGGCCCGUAUGGGUCCGUGCCGAAGCUAACGCAUUAAGUGCUCCGCCUGGGGAGUACGGUCGCAAGGCUGAA